CAAUAGCGUAUAUUAAAGUUGUUGCAGUUAAAAAGCUCGUAGUUGGAUUUGUGGCGUACGGUGUGUUCCGGGCACUUGUUGUCUGAGUAACCUGCUGUUGCCAUCCUUGGGUGGAACCUGUGUGGAAUUAGGUUGUCGUGCAGGGGAUGCCCAUCAUUUACUGUGAAAAAAUUAGAGUGUUCAAAGCAGGCUUAUGCCGUUGAAUAUAUUAGCAUGGAAUAAUGAGAUAGGACUUUUUUGCUAUUUUGUUGGUUUGCGCAAAGAGGUAAUGAUUAAUAGGGACAGUUGGGGGUAUUCGUAUUCCAUUGUCAGAGGUGAAAUUCUUGGAUUUUUGGAAGACGAACUACUGCGAAAGCAUUUACCAAGGAUGUUUUCAUUAA
rnacentral:rRNA from 1 species